UCAGGAUGAACGCUGACAGAAUGCUUAACACAUGCAAGUCGAUUCNAUUUACCUUCGGGUAUUGAGGAUGGCGGACGGGUGAGUAACGCGUAAGGAACUUGCCUCUUGGUCUGGGACAACUGUUGGAAACGACAGCUAAUACCGGAUAUUAUGAGAUUCUCGCAUGGGAAACUUAUGAAAGCUAUAUGCGCCAAGAGAGAGCCUUGCGUUCCAUUAGCUAGUUGGUGGGGUAACGGCCCACCAAGGCGACGAUGGAUAGCCGGCCUGAGAGGGUGAACGGCCACAAGGGGACUGAGACACGGCCCUUNNUNNNUNNNNNNNGCAGCAGUGGGGAAUAUUGGACAAUGGGCCACAAGCCUGAUCCAGCAAUUCUGUGUGCACGAUGAAGGUCUUCGGAUUGUAAAGUGCUUUCAGUUGGGAAGAAGAAAGUGACGGUACCAACAGAAGAAGCGACGGCUAAAUACGUGCCAGCAGCCGCGGUAAUACGUAUGUCGCAAGCGUUAUCCGGAUUUAUUGGGCGUAAAGCGCGUCUAGGCGGAAAAAUAAGUCUGAUGUUAAAAUGCGGGGCUCAACUCCGUAUUGCGUUGGAAACUGUUUUUCUAGAGUACUGNAGAGGUGGGCGGAACUACAAGUGUAGAGGUGAAAUUCGUAGAUAUUUGUAGNAAUGCCGAUGGANAAGUCAGCUCACUGGACAGAUACUGACGCUGAAGCGCGAAAGCGUGGGGNAGC
rnacentral:rRNA from 1 species